AGAGUUUGAUCCUGGCUCAGGACGAACGCUGGCGGCGUGCCUAAUACAUGCAAGUCGUACGCUUCUUUUUCCACCGGAGCUUGCUCCACCGGAAAAAGAAGAGUGGCGAACGGGUGAGUAACACGUGGGUAACCUGCCCAUCAGAAGGGGAUAACACUUGGAAACAGGUGCUAAUACCGUAUAACAAUCGAAACCGCAUGGUUUUGAUUUGAAAGGCGCUUUCGGGUGUCGCUGAUGGAUGGACCCGCGGUGCAUUAGCUAGUUGGUGAGGUAACGGCUCACCAAGGCCACGAUGCAUAGCCGACCUGAGAGGGUGAUCGGCCACAUUGGGACUGAGACACGGCCCAAACUCCUACGGGAGGCAGCAGUAGGGAAUCUUCGGCAAUGGACGAAAGUCUGACCGAGCAACGCCGCGUGAGUGAAGAAGGUUUUCGGAUCGUAAAACUCUGUUGUUAGAGAAGAACAAGGAUGAGAGUAACUGUUCAUCCCUUGACGGUAUCUAACCAGAAAGCCACGGCUAACUACGUGCCAGCAGCSGCGGUAAU
rnacentral:rRNA from 1 species